GGUUAGGUUACGAAAUUCAAUAGGAUACGGAUUAACUAUUUAUUUGUUCCUCAAAUUACUCACGGUCCUAAUAUCAGGUUUCUUUGUGUAGAUCCUCCGAAGUUCCGAUAUCAAAAAUGUGUUACUAAAUUACUAAUAUAUUUUAUUACUUUUAUUAGGACUUCAAUAACCUAGAUCAGCGUUGUUGCUUCAAGAUAGGCUAGCAGUUACACUACGUUUUUACGUGUGGCGAGGCUCCCCGCCACCACCAUAACAUAUGUAUCCGUAGUAUAUAGGUAUAGGAUAAGUUAGAGCCGACUGCGCUCGGCGCGUAAGAUUAGUCUCAUAGUAAACACCAACUAAUGAA